rnacentral:lncRNA from 1 species
GUCGUGCGCUCGGGGUGAGCCGGCCGGGCGGAGCGGCGGCCGGUUUAUUUUUACUCGGUGGCAUUUGCAGAAUGUGCAGCUGAUGACCGUCGGCCGCCAGGAAGUUUUGCUUUCUGUUCUUUCUCUCUCUUUGCGAAGCCAGCGCGGCCCGGAGCUAGAGGGCCGCCGAGUCGGGCCUAGGAGGGGAGGGGGCGGCCUCUGGGGUUGCAAGGCACACAGACCUUGGUGA